rnacentral:rRNA from 1 species
AAAGGUGAAAAGCACCCCGACGAGGGGAGUGAAAGAGACCUGAAACCGAAUGCUUACAAGCAGUUGGAGCCCCAUAUGGGGUGACAGCGUACCUCUUGCAUAAUGGGUCAGUGACUUAAUUUAUCGAGCAAGCUUAAGCCGUUAGGUGUAGGCGCAGCGAAAGCGAGUCUGAAUAGGGCGAUGAGUUCGUUGGAUUAGACCCGAAACCGAGUGAUCUAGCCAUGGCCAGGUUGAAGGUGCGGUAACACGCACUGGAGGACCGAACCCACGCCUGUUGAAAAAGUCGGGGAUGAGCUGUGGCUAGGGGUGAAAGGCCAAUCAAACUCGGAAAUAGCUGGUUCUCCGCGAAAUCUAUUUAGGUAGAGCGUCUCAUGAAUACCAUCGGGGGUAGAGCACUGGAUGGGCUAUGGGGGCUUACCGCCUUACUGAUCCUAACCAAACUCCGAAUACCGAGAAGUACUAUCCGGCAGACACACAGUGGGUGCUAACGUCCAUUGUGGAGAGGGAAACAACCCUGACCGCCAGUUAAGGUCCCUAAGUUAUGGCUAAGUGGGAAAGGAUGUAGGACUCCCAAAACAACCAGGAUGUUGGCUUAGAAGCAGCCAUCAUU